UACGUAGGUGGCAAGCGUUGUCCGGAAUUAUUGGGCGUAAAGCGCGCGCAGGCGGUCCUUUAAGUCUGAUGUGAAAGCCCACGGCUCAACCGUGGAGGGUCAUUGGAAACUGGGGGACUUGAGUACAGAAGAGAAGAGUGGAAUUCCACGUGUAGCGGUGAAAUGCGUAGAGAUGUGGAGGAACACCAGUGGCGAAGGCGGUCGACUGGCCCAUAACUGACGCUGAGGCACGAAAGCGUGGGGAGCGAACAGG
rnacentral:rRNA from 1 species